rnacentral:lncRNA from 1 species
CCUGUCUCCACUCCCCACUUAAGGCCCUGGGUGAUUGGAGGCAGAAGUGGGUCAUUAUUGCAGGAAGAGGGGCAAGUGAGGAGGAUCUGCCUUUUGGGUGGUGGAGGGAUUUUGCAUGGUUGUUGGCUGGGGCCUGCUGGGUGGGAAGGCUCCCUAUGACAAAGUUCUGGGGAUGAACUUCAGCCAACAAGCAAUUAGGGGAAGGAGGCAAUAGCAUCCACAGGCCCAGGGAGAGAACUAAUAGAAUUGAGCAGGGUGCCAGCCCUUUAGGCUACAGUCCCACAGAGGCCUGCAGAACUAACCGGAAAACUAAGGCAGGAGCCCACUGUUUCUGAUGGAUAAAACUGUGGCAGGGCUAAGGGAAGCCCUUUCUGCCCAGGUCCACUUUAGUUUUUGCUUCUCUAAUUUCAUUUGGAUCUCCCUGGGUUUUGAAAAAAUUGUUCAACACCCUCCCUGUCUUCUCAUUCAUUCAUUUGUUGUCUUGGUCUCCCUUUCCGUGUCUUGCAGUCUUCAUCUGUCUCCAUCUGUUUCUGUUCUUUCCUGUCCCUCACUCGCUUUCUCUUAUUGGAGUUCAUUAGUUCAUUCAUGCCCUCAGACAGCAUAUUCCCUGGCUGCCUGCUGAGGGCCAGGCCUUGUACUGGCCAAUGGAGUUACAGAGAGUCACCAGACCUGCCAGGUUCCCAAUAGCUCCCAGGGUGACACAAGUGACCUCCUGUGUGGAGGUGAAGCCAAACAUUGUAUUGACUCUCUGUGAGGCAUUGCUAUUCUCCAUCUCAAUGUCUGUCUGUCCGUUCAUCCAUCCAUCCAUCUCUGUCCACUGGUGACUCUACC